rnacentral:rRNA from 1 species
UUCGGGUUGUAACCUCUUUCAGCAGGGAAGAAGCGAGAGUGACGGUACCUGCAGAAGAAGCGCCGGCUAACUACGUGCCAGCAGCCGCGGUAAUACGUAGGGCGCAAGCGUUGUCCGGAAUUAUUGGGCGUAAAGAGCUCGUAGGCGGCUUGUCGCGUCGGUUGUGAAAGCCCGGGGCUUAACCCCGGGUCUGCAGUCGAUACGGGCAGGCUAGAGUUCGGUAGGGGAGAUCGGAAUUCCUGGUGUAGCGGUGAAAUGCGCAGAUAUCAGGAGGAACACCGGUGGCGAAGGCGGAUCUCUGGGCCGAUACUGACGCUGAGGAGCGAAAGCGUGGGGAGCGAACAGGAUUAGAUACCCUGGUAGUCC